GCAACGAAUAUUCCGCAAUGGGCGAAAGCCUGACGGAGCGACGCCGCGUGCAGGAUGAAGUCCCUCGGGAUGUAAACUGCUGUCGGGGAUCAGGAAGAUCUGACCUAUCCCAAAGGAAGCCUCGGCUAACUCUGUGCCAGCAGCCGCGGUAAUACAGAGGAGGCGAGCGUUGUUCGGAAUCACUGGGCUUAAAGCGCGUGUAGGCGGAAUGCCAGGUACCGUGUGAAAUCCCCCGGCUCAACCGGGGAACGGCUUGGUAAACCGGCAUUCUUGAGGCAGGUAGAGGCGGGCGGAACCAUGGGUGGAGCGGUGAAAUGCGUAGAUAUCCAUGGGAACACCGGUGGCGAAAGCGGCCCGCUGGGCCUGUUCUGACGCUGAGACGCGAGAGCGUGGGUAGCAAACAGGAUUAGAAACCCUUGUAGUCC
rnacentral:rRNA from 1 species